GUCUCUCUCACUUCGGUAACACAUACACUAAAAUUGGAAUGAGAGAGAGAAUUAGCAAACUCCCUGCACAAGGAGAAAAUGUUAUUUUAUUAUCAUUAUUAUUAUUAU
rnacentral:snRNA from 1 species